ensembl:lncRNA
GACCGUUCUGGCGAGGAGCAAAGCUGAAUACUGGCUCCCUGGCCUUGUGCGCCGCUCCUCCCCGCCCGCACUCGCGCGCCUGCCCCGCGCUCCUUUGUCGCCCGCGCCUGCCGAGCGCAAUCCUCCUAGAAGACUUGCUUUUAGCUUUCAUUUCCGGAUUUUCCCCUCUUAGAGUUACCUUUUAAGCCCAGAUGUCUCGUGUUUGCACAUCAUGCCGGAAGCAGGCAUACAGAUCAAUAUUUUUGGGCUAAGAGGUCAUCUGCCACAGUGAAGGCGGAAAAAAAAAAAGAGCCCAGUUAAAGGAGGCGAAGGCAGGGAGGAGAGAAACGGCCAGGGUAAGCCAGAUGCAGGAUAGCGUCAGGAACAAGUGACCGUUAUCAUGUGCGAACAAAACAACUCUACUCUUCCAGUUCAGAAUCUACAAAAAAGUAUCUUCCAUCUAGGCUUGUCCUAAGCACAGAGGAGAGAAAGUACCCGUUCAAGAAGAAAGCCGGAUCGGCAAGUUUGGCUCCCGAGCGUGUGAACUAUGAAUCACCACGGUGAAGAUCUUUUCCCUUUUUUCCCCCCUUACCCUAUUCGUUUCUCUUGGAGCGUGAACUUGUUAGAUAAGAUAGAUGAGGCCACAGGGAAAUGGGAUCGCUGAGAAAACCCGGCUCCUUGGAGAGCAGCCUUGAGGCUGGCAGGCGGUCGCUGAGCGCAGCCUUGGAAAGAGCGGAGGGGCGCGGGGCUCCCUCCCAAGCGGUCCCAACUCAAGUCCCUGCCGCCGCCCGCGGGAGGCACUCCGCGCUGUGAUCGACGCCUAGGUAGCCUAUCCUUUGGCCUUAGAGGAAACACCCCAGAAGACGAAAAGCCCCUAGCUGAGUUGAGUAUCUGCUUUCCAGCGCGGCCCGCAGGUUUUCCUAGAAAUCCGACAUCCGGACCACAAAGCAAUCGGAGGGUGGGAGACACUAGAUUUUAAAGAAGCCUGGAGUCACGCGUGAACACUGUUUUCCCCAUUGAUUAGAAGUGGCUCUCUUUUCCUAUUUAUAUAUACUCCACAUGCUAUUGAUUACACACGGCGAUUUACUUGAAGAAAUGCUUAGAGUAUCUUUAGCACACGCUCCUCUGUCUUUGUCCCUCUCAAAGAUUUCAGCUGAUAGUGUGGCUGGUUGGGAUCAAUUAGCACUGGAUUUUGCCCUGGGAUUGCUCCCCAGGGCGGACAAAUGGAGCCAACUCAUCUCCAGCGAAUUUUUUUUCUUCUCCCAUGUGCGUAUCCACGCCAGAGCUUUAGAAGCAGUUUAAAAUUCCCAGCCUAGGUUUCACUUGAUUUUGUUGUUAUUGUUACAUUGAUAAAUAUUGGGUCAUACACAGCCACUUGUCAGAGUCUUUGGCUCCGACUGGCAUUUGUAGCUCCUAGAGGGGCGUUUGAGUUGUGUUCUAGGAACUGGAGAGAUUUGUUGGGAAAAGCAUUGCAGUCUCUGCUCUCUUAGUUGCAGACAUGGCCUCUUAAAAUCCUGCUCGUUCCUCUCUACUGUCACGUUUAUUUCUUUAUUUGUUCAGAUAUGUGAACGCUGGGUGUAUGUGUCACCCUCCCCCCAACCCUGUAUCUUGUAAUUGAAAUUAUCUUUAAAACCAAAGCUAUUGAUCUCAGUUUUCCGAAGUAUAUCUGAAACUAGAAAGAACAUAGGCGAAUAGACAGAUAAUUGUUGUAAUUUCUGGGGGAUGGUUGGGCAGGUAGGACGUUUGGGGGUGGUGUAACUGGAGUAAUAUAUACAGUUUAUCUUUCCAUGGUACUGUAUAUACUCUUUCCCUUGAUACUUAUUGCACACGGACUGAGCCUAUGGUCGGCUUGUCUUGGCAUGUUUGAAGCCCCAGACACCCAACAGUAUCAUUACAGGAAAGAGACAAAACCCCAAAGACUAGAGGCAAGGAGGCGUCUAGUUUGAGGUGAAUGGAGAGUUCCUCCUGGCGUUGGACUUUUCGGUGUUACCGAAGUGUACGUUACUGGUGAAACAACAAAACAAGCAUAGAGCUGCAAUUUUCAAGAAAAUAGGAUCUCCAAAUAUAAAAAUAAAAA